ensembl:lincRNA
AAAGCUUUCCCCUCAACUCUGGAGUGUUUCUAGCCAUUUUAUCUAAGAAUUCUGCCCAGGAAAUAGUUGUCAGACUCCACCUCGCUCACCUCACCCUAUCCAGACACCAGUGUCCUUGCACAUGAGGCUCUUUCCUGCUCCACUGAUGUUGAUCUUGGUCAUGAGACUUGCUUGGGCCAAUGAAUUCCUCGAUCCACAUGUGAUUUUUGCUCUCAACUCUGCUCCUGUGAAAGUCCAACAGCCCUCAGAAUAAAUACAAAAUAAAUAAUUUUUCCCCUGAGGCCACCCGGACAUUGAUUUCCCAAAAGAACAAAAAAUUGCUUUUAAACAAAGGAUAAACAUGGAGUUUGGGGAAGUCUGAUUAAACUUCUUUGAAAGUUUUAAGCCAAGGCAAAAGGGGACAAGUGAGAUUGUAAUGGGAUUCAUCUUGCCAGCAGCAUCAUACAGCAUUUGCUCUCCUGAACACUAACUUCAGCUGUGAUUUAUUAGGGGACCAAGUUCAUGUCAUUGCGCCUGAUCUUCAGAGACCUGGCUUCAAAUCCCGAUUUUACUCACAAUUGAAAAUGAGGCUGGUGGUCAGGUCCUAGCCCUUCUUGACAUGAUUGUCAGCCUGCACUCAGGAGAAUGGCUGUCUGGAAAAACAGGGAGUGUUAACGUGCAGGUCAGGGACUCAGGCGCCCAUCAGUGGACUUUUUAAUCUGCAUUGAGACUGGGAGGGGCUUGGGGCUACUGACCCUCUCAGUGGGAUACUUAUUAAACUGCCUGACAAAGGAGCAUAAUACAAUCUUAAUUCCUCCUAGGAAGCUUUUUUUUUUUUUUUUUUUUUUUUUUUUUUUUUUUUUUUUUUUUGGUCACAGCUGAAGGAAGUGACCAAUUAUUAAAAUUUUGAAAAAGAAAGAACUCUGGGACUUGGCAUGUC